rnacentral:lncRNA from 1 species
GGCAACAUUGGAAAUCCAGAAAAGUCUUUUCAUCCCAAUGAGAAAGAAUGAAAGAGAAAGGCUAAGUCUAUGAUUGUCCCAUGUACCGUUUCGAAAGAGUCUGUUUGUUUCUAUUGCCAAGAGAAGGAGAAUUGGUUGCGAAGCUGCCAUAUCUGCUUGAAGGAUCAUAAGGAUGGUAAAGUCAAAAAGUUUGACUCUGCUUCAGGUAAGUCCUCUAUCUAACUCUAUUAAGUUCCUAUUUGUAGAUUCUUGAUACAAGAUGCGAUAAGAUUACAUUUUGAUGUUUUGUAGGAUCAAAGGAAGCUUAAAGGAAAAGCAUGUUGAGUCUGAUCGUGAGGAGAUGGAUUUCGAUCGCAUGGUUAAAUCAUCAGAUUUUUGAGUUGAUGCUAGGAGUUAUGAUAGAUUGCUUAGGAAUAUUUAGAAACAUAAUUUUCAUAUGUACUUGCGUUGUAAGGAAAGGUUUUCCGCAUUUUAUAAAUAAAGAGAAAUUUUGAUUUUAUCUUAUGUAUAUUUCCUUGCAAUGGCAUUUGUGAAAAUUGAUGUUUGUAUGUUUCUAUUUUUUAGCAAUAUGGAUUGGAUUCUUUCGUUUAGGUGGUGUCAAAAUUUA